GACGAAGGAUGCAAGCGUUAUCCGGAUUCAUUGGGUUUAAAGGGUGCGUAGGCGGGCCUGUAAGUCAGUGGUGAAAUCUUCCCGCUUAACGGGAAAACUGCCAUUGAUACUAUAGGUCUUGAAUUCAGUUGAGGUGGGCGGAAUGUGUCGUGUAGCGGUGAAAUGCUUAGAUAUGACACAGAACACCGAUUGCGAAGGCAGCUCGCUAAACUGACAUUGACGCUGAGGCACGAAAGCG
rnacentral:rRNA from 1 species